UACGAAGGGGGGCUAGCGUUGUUCGGAAUUACUGGGCGUAAAGCGCACGUAGGCGGUUUGUUAAGUCAGGGGUGAAAUCCCGGAGCUCAACUCCGGAACUGCCUUUGAUACUGGCAAGCUAGAGUCCGGAAGAGGUAAGUGGAACUCCUAGUGUAGAGGUGGAAUUCGUAGAUAUUAGGAAGAACACCAGUGGCGAAGGCGCUUACUGGUCCGGGAACUGACGCUGAGGUGCGAAAGACGUGGGGGAGCAAACAGG
rnacentral:rRNA from 1 species